AAACUUAAAGGAAUUGACGGGACCCCGCACAAGCAGCGGAGCGUGUGGUUUAAUUCGAUGAUACACGAAGAACCUUACCUGGGUUUGACAUGCAAGUGGUAGGAAACCGAAAGGGGACCGACCCUUCGGGGAGCUUGCACAGGUGCUGCAUGGCUGUCGUCAGCUCGUGUCGUGAGAUGUUCGGUUAAGUCCGCUAACGAGCGCAACCCUCGUCGUGUGUUACAAGUGUCACGCGAGACCGCCGAUGUCAAGUCGGAGGAAGGUGGGAUGACGUCAAGUCAGCAUGGCCUUUAUAUCCAGGGCUACACACACGCUACAAUGGUCAACACAAUAGGUCGCGAAACCGCGAGGUGGAGCCAAUCCUCAAAGUUGGCCUCAGUUCAGAUUGUAGGCUGCAACUCGCCUGCAUGAAGAUGGAGUUGCUAGUAACCGCAGGUCAGCACUACUGCGGUGAAUACGUUCCCGGGGUUU
rnacentral:rRNA from 1 species